CUUUAAUUGAAUGCUCCAGGGUCCACCUAGUCCAGUGGGUCUCAAAGCUUUUCGGGCCACCCUUGGUUGCAUCAACUUAUCCCCAGUUCUCCCUACCCUAUCAAAAAGCAUUUUCCACUAAGGAAGAUAACAACACAAUAGAAUUCCAAACAGUUACAAUGAAUUGCACAUUUAUUUGAAAUUCAGUUUAAACUAUUUAAUUUAAUCGAUUCAACACUGCUUAAUACAGUGGUACCAGUUGCAGAUGUGUGCGAUGACCAUUUGCUACAUAUCAGCUGUAGGAAAUCCAAAUAUAACCAUGAUGUUUCACACAGUCAAAAUCUGUGAAGCUGCCUCUGGCAAGUCAACCAGAAAAUGGAUAUGCUGUUAUUUUUUUACCUAAUUUUUUUACAGAUGAUGAGGAGGUGGUGAGAGACCUGCGGAUUUUCAUUGUAGCAACCCCAGAAGGAAAAGAAAAUAUUGUGACCGAUAUUCUGUGCACUUUCCAAAACACGGAAACUGCUCCAACCCAGCUGCACAUUGGUGAAUGGUACCCUGGUUCCCAAAUGGCUUAGUUGAGGAACAAGUCGGCUCCCAAAUGCCACAAACCCGGAAAUGAGGAGCCUUGUGGAUGGGAGAUAAGGAUACCAACCAAGGCCUUUGUUCUUUGUGGGAAAAGAGCCAUGCUUGUUGCUCACUAUUAAACCAUUACAAAUGAUAGGAAAACAUUGUCUUGCUGUAUUUCAAAGACACACAAACCCAACAACGGUGGCUUUCUGAUAGUCAACAAGUGUUGAGGUCCUUCUUUGGAAAAAUAAAACCCCAAGCAAAACAGAUAUGUUUUAUGAACAGUGGCAUAUCAAUAUUUGAAUAAAUAAAUGUUAAUAAUCACAAAGUGAAUAUCAUAAUUUUUUGAGGGUGGUGCAUUUUAAGCCGGAGCCCAAUCCUGGCAAGUUUUCAGCACAUGGUCAUCCCUUUUCAAUUGUAUUUUCUCACCAUUAAUAAAGCUUUGCAUCAGAUACACUUAUUAAAAUGUGUGUGGUUUGCAAGCAAUUGCAGCAAGCUUUGCUUCUUUCCCAUCUGUCUCCUGCUGGCACCAAGAGUUGAAGUUUUCUGGUUUAUCUAACCCAGGCAUAGGCAAACUCGGCCCUCCAGAUGUUUUGGGACUACAACUCCCAUCAUCCCUAACUAACAGGACCAGUGAUCAGGGAUGAUGGGAGUUGUAGUCCCAAAACAUUUGGAGGGCCGAGUUUGCCCAUGUCUGAUUUAAUCCUUCUGCUGUGCUAGGAAUUCUGAUAAGAUAAAUUUGGGCAGAUUCCAUCUGACCCCUGAUAGUCAUUACCAACUGCAAUGAAUUUUAGGUGUCUUUUAAAUUUUGUUUUUUUAUUUGUUCAGGCAUUUGGUUAGUUGACUGCAGGAGCUGUUUUGUCACUCUCGUUAUACCUGUUAAAUUUGAAAUGUUGUGGUUGUGGUCUGAUAUUUCAGGUUGCUUUCUUUUAUUAUGUAUUAUAUAUGGUUAUGUUGUACUCUGCUCCAGGGCUAGUUU